rnacentral:rRNA from 1 species
AUUGAACGCUGGCGGCAGGCCUAACACAUGCAAGUCGAACGAGUGGCGGACGGGUGAGUAAUGUCUGGGAAACUGCCUGAUGGAGGGGGAUAACUACUGGACACGGUAGCUACUACCGCAUACCAUCAGAUGUGCCCAGAUGGGAUUAGCUGGUUGGUGGGGUAACGACUCACCAAGGCGACGAUCCCUAGCUGGUCUGAGAGGAUGACCAGCAAAACUGGAACUGAGACAAGGUCGAGACUCCUACGGGAGGCAGAAGUGGGGAAUAUUGCACAAUGGGAGAAAGCCUGAUGAAGCCAUGCCGCGUGUAUGAAGAAGGCCUUCGGGUUGUAAAGUACUUGCAGCGGGGAGGCGUUACCCGCAGAAGAAGCACCGGCUAACUCCGUGCCAGCCGCCGCGGUAAUAC